AUGGCCACGAACAAGAAGCAGCCCCACGCCGUGCUCGUGCCGUUCCCGGCGCAGGGGCACGUCACGCCGAUGAUGAAGCUGGCCAAGGUCCUGCACCGCAAGGGCUUCCACAUCACCUUCGUCAACACCGAGUACAACCAGCGCCGCCUCGUCCGCUCCCGCGUCCCCGGCGCCGUGGCCGGCCUCCCGGGCUUCCGCUUCGCCACCAUCCCAGACGGCAUACCCACGUCUGAUGUCGACGCCGACGCCGAUGCCCCGCAGGACCCGGUGUCCCUCUGUUACUACACGAUGACCACCUGCCUCCCCCACUUGAAGAACCUGCUCCGCGACCUCAACGGCGCGGUUGGGGCGCCGCGGGUGAGCUGCGUCGUGGGCGAUGGCGUCAUGAGCUUCUGCAUGGAUGCCGCCGCGGACCUCGGCGUGCCGUGCGCGCUGUUCUGGACUGCCAGCGCCUGCGGCUUCAUGGGCUACCGCAACUUCCGGUUCCUCCUAGACGAGGGCCUCACCCCUCUCAAAGAUGAGGACCAAGUGAAGAACGGGUACUUGGACACGCCGGUGGCACAGGCACACGGGAUGAGCAAGCACAUGCGUCUCCGAGACUUCUCAUCCUUCGUCCGCACGACGGACCGCAGCGACAUCCUGUUCAACUUCCUGCUGCACGAGGUCGAGCAGUCGGACCGCGCGACCGCCAUCGUCCUUAACACCAUUGACGAGCUCGAGCAGACGGCCCUCGACGCCAUGCGCGCCAUCCUCCCCCUGCCCGUCUACACCAUCGGCCCGCUUAACUCACUCACCGAGCAGCUGGUCUCACAGGAAGGCGAUCUCGCCGGGAUACGCUCCAGCCUCUGGAGAGAAGACCAGUCAUGUCUCAAGUGGCUCCAGGGCAGGGAGCCCCGCUCCGUGGUGUAUGUCAACUACGGGAGCGUAACCACCAUGUCCAAGCAGGAGCUGGUGGAGUUCGCUUGGGGGCUUGCCAACUGUGGCUACGACUUCCUGUGGAUCGUGAGGAACGACCUGGUGAAGGGCGAUGCCGCGGUGCUGCCUCCCGAGUUCCUCGAGGCCACCAAGGGCAGGUGCCUCCUAGCGAGCUGGUGCGAGCAGGAGGCGGUGAUGCACCACGAGGCGGUGGGCGCCUUCCUGACGCACUGUGGGUGGAACUCGAUGAUGGAGGGGCUCAGCGCCGGGGUGCCCAUGCUAUGUUGGCCUUUCUUCGCCGAGCAGCAGACCAACUGCCGAUACGCGUGCAUGGAGUGGGGCGUCGGGGUGGAGGUCGGCGACGACGUCCGCCGGGAGGCGGUCGAGGCGAGGAUAAGGGAGGUGAUGGGAGGAGAAGUAGGGAGGGAGAUGAGGAGGAGGGCGGCAGAGUGGAAGGAGGUCGCUUCUCGCUCAACCGCGCAACCUGGUGGCAGGUCGUUGGCCAACCUUGAGAGUCUGCUCAAGGAUGUACUGAAGUGA
rnacentral:rRNA from 1 species